AACGCGAAGAACCUUACCCACCUUUGACAUGUACGGAACUCGCCAGAUAUGGCUUGGUGCUCGAAAGAGAGCCGUGACACAGGUGCUGCAUGGCUGUCGUCAGCUCGUGUCGUGAGAUGUUGGGUUAAGUCCCGCAACGAGCGCAACCCUUGUCAUUAGUUGCUACAUUCAGUUGGGCACUCUAAUGAGACUGCCGGUGUCAAGCCGGAGGAAGGUGGGGAUGACGUCAAGUCCUCAUGGCCCUUAUAGGUGGGGCUACACACGUCAUACAAUGGCUGGUACAAAGGGUUGCCAACCCGCGAGGGGGAGCUAAUCCCACAAAGCCAGUCGUAGUCCGGAUCGUAGUCUGCAACUCGACUACGUGAAGUCGGAAUCGCUAGUAAUCGUGGAUCAGAAUGUCACGGUGAAUACGUUCCCGGGUCUUGUACACACCGAAU
rnacentral:rRNA from 1 species